GUAGGUGAACCUGCGGAAGGAUCAUUAACACGUAUCCAACGUUAAACCCCCCUGUGAACUUUCAGCACUGCUCUUGCGUUUGUCUUCAUAUUGCCAUCCCUAGUAAAUCAUGGUCAACAGUUUGAUUUAGGGACUUGCUUGGCAGCGGUAGUGUAAGCGCCUCAGCUUCUCCCUUGGGUCCUCUGAAGAAUUGGAAAGUGUCAUCAGAAGGCCCUACGGCUUCGCUAGAGGACAUCACGUCCGGCGACUAGGUGCUCGGGUCUCCAUGCCUUUAGAACCCCACAGCGCGCUAAACCGCUGCCUAAAAAAAACCGAACAACUGUUAACAAUGGAUAUCUUGGUUCUC
rnacentral:misc_RNA from 1 species